rnacentral:rRNA from 1 species
GAUCUGGCUCAGAACGAACGCUGGCGGCGCGUCUUAAGCAUGCAAGUCGAACGGCAAGAGGUAGCAAUACCUCCUAGAGUGGCGGACUGGUGAGUAACACGUGGGUGACAUACCCUUCAGAUGGGGAUAGCUAUUAGAAAUAGUAGAUAAUACCGAAUACGAGCACAGGGGUUAGAGAUCUGUGAGGAAAGGAGCUAAGGCUCCGCUGAAGGAAUGGCCUGCGGCCCAUUAGCUAGUUGGUGAGGUAAGAGCCCACCAAGGCGAUGAUGGGUAUCCGGCCUUAGAGGGUGAACGGACACAUUGGGACUGAGAUACGGCCCAGACUCCUACGGGAGGCAGCAGCUAAGAAUAUUCCGCAAUGGACGAAAGUCUGACGGAGCGACGCCGCGUGGAUGAAGAAGGCCGGAAGGUUGUAAAAUCCUUUUGAAACUGAAGAAUAAGCGUUGUAGGGAAUGACAGCGUGGUGACAGUAGGUUUUGAAUAAGCAACGGCUAAUUACGUGCCAGCCGCUGC